rnacentral:rRNA from 1 species
GACGAACCGUGCGAACGUUGUUCGGAAUCACUGGGCUUAAAGGGCGCGUAGGCGGGCCGCCAAGUCCGCGGUGAAAUCCCCGGCUCAACCGGGGAACUGCCGCGGAUACUGGAGGUCUCGAGGGGGUAGGGCAUGCGGAACUACGGGUGGGGCGGUGAAAUGCGUUGAUAUCCGUAGGAACUCCGGUGGCGAAGGCGGCGUGCUGGACUCCUUCUGACGGCUGAGGCGCGAAAGCCAGGGGAGCGAACGGG